rnacentral:tRNA from 1 species
GGGCCCAUGGUCUAGUUGGUUAUGACAUCACCUCGACACGGUGAAGGUCGCCGGUUCGAAUCCGGCUGGGCCCA